rnacentral:rRNA from 1 species
CGAAGUCAGUGACCUAACCGUAAGGAAGGAGCUGCCGAAGGUGGGACCGAUAACUGGGGUGAAGUCGUAACAAGGUAGCCGUAUCGGAAGGUGCGGCUGGAUCACCUCCUUUCUAAGGAA